AUAUAUACUUGGCAGGGGACAGACCAUGAUCAAAAAGGGGGUUCUCCCAGCACGAGGCUAUCCCAUUGCACUUUGGGUGUGCUGACGCCUGCCUUGUCUCCAAAUGCAGGAUAUCCGACUGCUAAAUUUGUGGUAGUGGGGGACUGCGCUCGUGCUAAUCGGGA